rnacentral:lncRNA from 1 species
UGUAACUAAGUUUUUAUGUUUUAAUGCAGGAUUAUUGGUGGGUUCUUAAAUAGUGGAUCUUAGGAUUAAAACAUAAAACAAAAAAUUAAAAAAUUAAAAACAAUAAUUAUUACAAAAUAAAAAUUUUAAAAUAUAGAUGAUAUAUAAUUUAUUGCAUAAAUAACAUAAACACAAAGCACAAUUAAUUUAAACGUGGUUUAUAGAAUAUUUUGGCCAUAUGUGCUCGACCAAAU